rnacentral:rRNA from 1 species
UACGUAGGGAGCAAGCGUUGUCCGGAAUCAUUGGGCGUAAAGCGCGCGUAGGUGGCCUCAUAAGUCCGCUGUGAAAGUCAAAGGCUCAACCUUUGAAAGCCGGUGGAUACUGUGAGGCUAGAGUACGGAAGAGGCGAGUGGAAUUCCUGGUGUAGCGGUGGAAUGCGCAGAUAUCAGGAGGAACACCAAUAGCGAAGGCAGCUCGCUGGGACGUUAACUGACACUGAGGCGCGAAAGCGUGGGGAGCGAACCAGG